CGCUGGCGGCAUGCUUAACACAUGCAAGUUGAACGUAAUUUCUUGGCUUGCCAAGGAGGUUAGUGGCAAACGGGUGAGUAACACGUAGGAAUCUACCUGGUAGUACGGAAUAACAAUUGGAAACGAUUGCUAAUACCGUAUAUCCUCUAAGGAGGAAAGAUUUAUCGCUAUCAGAUGAGCCCGCGGUAGAUUAGGUAGUUGGUGAGGUAAUGGCUCACCAAGCCGACGAUCUAUAGCUGGUCUGAGAGGACGAUCAGCCACACUGGAACUGAGGCACGGUCCAGACUCCUACGGGAGGCAGCAGUGGGGAAUAUUGGACAAUGGGCGCAAGCCUGAUCCAGCAAUGCCGCGUGAGUGAAGAAGGCCUUAGGGUUGUAAAGCUCUUUCAAUAGGGAAGAUAAUGACGGUACCUAUAAAAGAAGUUCCGGCUAACUCCGUG
rnacentral:rRNA from 1 species